AUUGAACGCUGGCGGCAGGCCUAACACAUGCAAGUCGAGCGAGCGGCGGACGGGUGAGUAAUGUAUGGGGACUGCCCGAUAGAGGGGGAUAACUACUGGAAAAGGUGGCUAAUACCGCAUACUAUCGGAUAACCCAUAUGGGAUUAGCUAGUAGGUGGGGUAAAGGCUCACCUAGGCGACGAUCUCUAUCUGGUCAGAGAGGAUGAUCAUCCACACGGGGACUGAGACACGGCCCAGACGCCUGUGGAGGCAGCAGGGGGGAAUUGUGCACAAUGGGCGCAAGCCGGAUGCAGCCAUGCCGCGUGUAUGAAGAAGGCCUUAGGGUUUUAAAGUUCUUUCAGCGGGGAGGCGUUACCCGAAGAAGAAGCACCGGCUAACUCCGUGCCAGCAGCCGCGGUAAUAC
rnacentral:rRNA from 1 species